rnacentral:rRNA from 1 species
UACAGAGGUCCCGAGCGUUGUUCGGAUUCACUGGGCGUAAAGCGCUCGUAGGCGGUCUGUCGCGUCGGAUGUGAAAACACGGGGCUCAACCCCGUGCCUGCAUUCGAUACGGGCAGACUAGAGUUCGGUAGGGGAGACUGGAAUUCCUGGUGUAGCGGUGAAAUGCGCAGAUAUCAGGAGGAACACCGGUGGCGAAGGCGGGUCUCGGGGCAGUAACUGACGCUGAGGAGCGAAAGCGUGGGGAGCGAACAGG